rnacentral:pre_miRNA from 1 species
GAGAUGUCAGAGAAAAUCUUUUUAUGAUAUUUUUGUUCGCUUCUGUUGAGAAAUCGAACAAAAAUAUCAUAAAAAGAUUUUCUCUGACAUCUC